GACGAACGCUGGCGGCGUGCCUAAUACAUGCAAGUCGAACGCAGUGGGGACGGGUGAGUAACACGUGGGUAACCUUCCAUCAGAGGGGAUAACACUUGGAAACAGGUGCUAAACCGCUACUGUUGUAUGUACCCGCGGUGCAUUAGCUAGUUGGUGAGGUAACGGCUCACCAAGGCCACGAUGCAUAGCUGGCCUCAGAGGGGUGUCGGCCACACUGGGACUGAGACACGGCCCAGACUCCUACGGGAGGCAGCAGUGGGGAAUAGUCGGCAAUGGACGAAAGUCUGACCGAGCAACGCCGCGUGAGUGAAGAAGGUUUUCGGAUCGUAAAACUCUGUGGUUAGGGAGGCGGUAUCUAACCAGAAAGCCACGGCUAACUACGUGCCAGCAGCCGCGGUAAUUC
rnacentral:rRNA from 1 species